rnacentral:rRNA from 1 species
CGCUUUACGGAGCCUGCACAGGUGGUGCAUGGCUGUCGUCAGCUCGUGCCGUGAAGAUGUUGCCUUUAGUGGCGCAACGAGCGCAACCCUUGUCCUUAGUUUCCAGCGGGUUAUGCCGGGGACUCUAGGGAGACUGCCGGUGCCAAACCGGAGGAAGGUGGGGAUGACGUCAAGUCAUCAUGCCCCUUAUGUUCAGGCUCACGCAUGCUACAAUGCGCGGUACAAAGGGCUGCGAACCCGUGAGGGGGAGCGAAUCCCAAAAAACCGGGCUCAGUUCGGAUUGGGGUCUGCAACCCGCCCCC